GAGCGCAACCCUUAUCCCCAGUUGCCAUCAGGUAAAGCUGGGGAACUCUGGGGAGAACUGCCGGUGAUAAACCGGAGGAAGCGGGGAUGACGUCAAGUCCUCAUGGCCCUUACAUCCCGGGCUACACACGUGCUACAAUGGCAGGUACAGAGGGCUGCAAAGCCGCGAGGUAGAGCGAAAUCCCAGAAAACCUGUCUCAGUCCGGAUUGAAGUCUGCAACUCGACUUCAUGAAGGCGGAAUCGCUAGUAACCGCGAAUCAGCAGGUCGCGGUGAAUACGUUCCCGGGCCUU
rnacentral:rRNA from 1 species